CGCCGCCAUCCGUCCUGGCGCUCCGGAUGAGUCAAUGAGGGGCAGGGCCCGAGGAGUGGUCUUCCCAAGAACCCCUGGUGGCCUCCCAAGGCCGGUGCUGUGUACCUCCUCCCCGACAAAAGGGGAAACUGAGGCCCCGAGGGGAGUGGGAAGAGCCGGCUGGACGUCAGGCCCAGCCGCUGGUGCAGUGGUCCGUCCCCUCUGCCGGGGUGGGCCCCUCGGGUUUCGCGUGUCCUCGGGAAAGAGACUGGCGGGUGAGCCGCGCCCUCGGCCUUCGCUGGGCUAAGCCGACCCCAUGCAGACGUCAAACCCCCCUAGGUCGGCACAGCCUCUCUGCGGGGAGGCUUAGUGCCCCCUUGAGAAACGGCUUGGCAACGCUGUGCCCGGGGCCUUGCACGCGGGCUGAGGGGGCUAGAGACCUCGCGACUUUUACUCCCCCGACCCCGAUCUCCGACUCCUGACUUUGGAAGCCCCCAAAGCUGCUUUUCGGUUGCCUACAAAGUGUCGGUCAUUGUGCCACGUCCUUGGAACCGUGAACUCAUUUUCUCCUCAAUAACCUUUAAAAAGUAGCUGUAAAACCUCCAUUUUACAGACCAGUUGGCUGAGGUUUAAAUGGAGGACGCUCCCAGGGCCCCAGAGGGGCGAAUUCCAGACUCCUUUGCCAGGACCUUGUACUAAGCCCCUUCCCUACGCUUUUCCCUGCCUAGGCCUCGUGGGCUGUGCGGCUAUCCUGGAGACAGAUGACAGCUCUCCCUUGGAUGGCUUUGCUGGUUCCGCACCAGCCAGCGCCCCCAUUUUUCCUGCAGCACCCUGAUCUGCACUCCCUGAGGGGCUCCCACUGUCCGCGGUGUGAGGAUGUCCCUGGGUAAGUGGUGCUGGUCAUGAGCACUUUGGGGGACCCUUCAAAUUCCCUUCUGGGGGACCCCAGCGGAGGGCAUGGUCAUGAAUUCCGAGAACUGUAUGGCAAAGCCGGGUGCAGAGGAGAGCCUGGCUAAGUUCUUUCAUUCUCCUGAGCUUGACUUUCUGUAAUGUAGGGAAACUGCGAAAGCUCUGUAAGUGGGGAGAUCUUGCACGUUUUUCUUGCUUUUGAACCCAUGAUGUCUGGCUACUUGUAGAUACUCAAUAUUUGUGGGAUGAAUGAACAAUUUAAGCCUUUUUUUUUUUUAACCAGAAAUUGGUCUUCUGUGACUUUCUUGAUGGGGGCAGAUGAGAUCUUUGUACUGCAUUAAGUGGAUAGCGCUCAGGUCCUUUGGGCUUGGCGCUUUGGCAAUCUCCAGGCAGCUCACUUUGGCCUCUGUUCCUGGAUCCCCUUUGCUCUUUUCUGCGCCUGCAUUCGUAAGUGAUCACGGGCUGCCCGUGUCCUGGUCAUUGGUAGUGCAGGCAGAGGAAAUGCGGGAAAGGUUGCUGUGUUUGGAGGGUCCACAUCUUCACCCUCCUGUCCCAGGAGCUUUCCUACACUCCUCCUUCUCAAAGCUGCACACACCUGGGGCCUCCAGGGGAUUGGGGGCUGCCGUGUGUGUUAUAUCAUGAUUAGAGCUUUCACUUCCUGCUCCCUGCUGUUGGGAACCAGGCUGUGUGUGUUGCUUAAAUUCCCCUUGAUGACCAGCAGAGUCACUGCCACUCAGCCAUGGCACACUGCUGUAAACCUGGUUUUGAUCUCCUUUCAAUCUUUUGCUGAUUAACUACACAUUGAUCAGUGUUGGCCACCCUCACCCUGCCAUAGACCAUCCGCUGUCUUCCUCUGUAGAGUUAACUAUUUUCUCUUUUAUGAGGAAAUAGUGUGUUUGCUUAGGAGUGUUUACUGUCUGGUAACUACUGUGCUAAGCCCUUUCCUGUUGCCUGCCAUCCCUGCUGCGAGCAGGGACAAGCUGGGUGCUCACUCAUGGCAUCUUAUCUGUUGCAGAUAGUCCACUGUGUGCAGAGGCAUGGGAGUUGUCAUGUUGGGAACAUGCUAGACCUCAGUAUCCUUGAGGGAUGCUGCCUUGGGUCUGGAAACUGUUAGAGGAAACCCCAAGAGGUGCAGGCACUGAGCCUCUCAGGACAAUGACCUGGGGUCCCAGCUCCCCUGGAGGGGCCUCCUCAUGAUUGUUUGGGGGUUGAUCACAGACCAAGAGUGACGAGUGAUGUCACCCUGUGACUCAUGGCUGGACCUUCUUGCCCCUAUUGUCUCAGCACAACAUUAUUCGACUUUUCCCUCAGCGUGGGUGGGCAGAGGAAAAGCCCUGUGGCUCUGGGGACUUGGGAUCCAGAGUUGAAGACCCUUCAGCUGGCUCUGCCCUGCCAGUGCCACAGAGUGCCAUGGCCCAGGAAGACAGGUUUUCUUCCAUCUAGGCCAGGCCAUCCAGUGGCCAUCCUCCGUGUCCUCCCGCCUCCUCCUGGUGUGACUUCUGAAAACCAAGAAUUUGUUCCUGUUGACUUUUUCUGUGCUAUGGACCAUUGUCCUCUCACCCACUCAAUA
rnacentral:lncRNA from 1 species